rnacentral:snoRNA from 1 species
ACUGCACACUGUUAAAGCUCAGGGUGGAGGCCGUCGUGGCCCGUGGCCCUGAGUGUCGGAAGUGUGCUACAUCAACGGCAGGAUUUUCGCUGACGCCAGUAGAGCUUGCCUCCAUGACUGGAGUUUGAUAGUACUCGCUGCCACAUAC